rnacentral:rRNA from 1 species
CGGUAUUUUGACCGUGCGAAGGUAGCAUAAUCAAUAGUCUAUUAAUUAUAGUCUGGAAUGAAGGGUUUGACGAUAAGUAACUUUCUUAAUACUAAAGGUGAAUCUUAAUUAUUAGUGAAAAUGCUAAUAUAAAUAAGGGGGACGAGAAGACCCUGUGGAGUUUGAUAUUUAAGCAUAAGUGAUAGUAGAUAAUAUGCUUAUUAUAUUUUGCUGGGGCGGCAAUAAAUAUAUCAUUUAUAUGUUUGUCUAUUUAANAGGUAGAUGAUCCAAUAAUAUUGAUUAUUAGUUUAAAUUACCCCAGGGAUAACAGCGUAAUUUUAUUUUAGAGUUCUUAUCGAUAAUGAAGUUUACGACCUCGAUGUUGGAUUAGGAUACCCUUAAGGCGCAGAAGUUUAUUAGGGUGGUCUGUUCGACCAUUAAAUUCCUACAUGAUCUGAGU